GAUGAAAAGUUUGUUCUUUUUUUCUUUCAUCGGAUUUCAUUUCCGAUUAAUGUUUUGUUCUGUUUUUUUUUGUCUGGUUUCUUUCUCGGAGUUUCUUUUGUUCUUUUGUUCGGUUUGAUUGUUCUUUUGUUAUGUUUGAUAAAAAAAAAUCCGAUUUGAAACAGAAUUCUAAGUCUCUAUGCCAAUCUAUUAUGAGCGGUGUUUAAUUUAAUCAGUCGAAGUUUUUCUUACGAGGGAGUAAAAUCACCUUCACUCAAGCUUCCCGUCAUCUUGAUUACUAUCGAUAGAGGAUGUUGAAGAAAUUUAGAAAGCAUGGCCAAGAUAACGAUAUGCGACGAUGGUUUCUUCCGUCCGGUGAUGAAGUGCGACGGAGAAAAGUCGAAGAGGUGGACCACUAAUCACGAGAUUCUUGACAUGUCGGUCCAAAAUUUAAAUGGUUUAGUUUAUUUCACUUGCAAUUUCAUUUUGGUCCAUUCGGCUUAUUUUUAAUUUGAUUUUGAGCUAUUGGGCUCCAAUCUAUGUACAAUAUUGCCUUCGUAGGCUUAAUCAAAGAAAAAAAAGAGACUACAAUUUUGGCCU